UACGAAGGGGGCUAGCGUUGUUCGGAAUUACUGGGCGUAAAGCGCGUGCAGGCGGCCUUGCAAGUCGGACGUGAAAUCCCACGGCUCAACCGUGGAAGUGCAUUCGAAACUGCGAGGCUGGAGUCCUGGAGAGGAAAGUGGAAUACUCGGUGUAGAGGUGAAAUUCGUAGAUAUCGAGUGGAACACCGGUGGCGAAGGCGGCUUUCUGGACAGGUACUGACGCUGAGACGCGAAAGCGUGGGGAGCAAACAGG
rnacentral:rRNA from 1 species